CACAGCUCCCCCCAAGGGUCCCCGCGUGGCCUCGGGCCGGGCCGCCGAGCUCCCCCGUCGUGGGGAACCGACGCCGGAAGAGGACGGCUGUGCGGGACGCGAGCGCGCCCAGGCCUGACUCCCUGCCCCUCCCGGGCCACGGGGCCGGCCUGUCCCGGGACCCACUCGCCCUGCGAUCCCGGCCCCUCCCCAGCAGCCCCUCUGACCCCUCCUCUCCCCCCGUCCUCCCGUCCCCUGUGGUCACCCCCGACCCUGGGGUGUGUGAGCUCCGGGUACGGCCCAGCCGCGGGGAGCAUCAGGCUGAGCUGAGGGCCUACACUGUCAGCGCCCGGCUCAUGCCACCAGCAGCGAACCCCGCGGGAGGGGGGGGCGGUGUAGGGACCCUGCCAGCUCCGCGUGGGUCACACAGCGCCUCCCAGGCACCUGCCUCCUGACAGACACGGACACCCUCCUGCAUCUGCUCUAUUUGUAACAGCCCCAAAGUGAAAUAAGUCCAGAUGUGCAUGUGAGCGAGUAAACAGCCUGUGGUCCAGCCAUCCAGCUGAACGGCGCGCCCCGGGCCAGAGGAGCAGCGUGGCACGGCCCCCGGGAGGCUGCGGCGUCCCACACCGUUCCACUCGCCGAGGUCUGUGGAAUCAGGGCAAAUCGAGGGUUGCCCGACAUUAGUGGGGGGACGGGGGAGGGCGGGAAGCAGGCAUGGCUCCGGGAAGGCAUGCCAGGGGCCUGCUCGGGGUCUGACACACCCACCCGCCCGAGAGAACACCGUGUCCAGCCCAGCACGCGACGAGCGCCCUCGAACCCGGGACCCGCGUCACCAUCCCGGCUGUGAGAUGAUGCUGCGUGUUGCCCGAUGUUGCCGUUUUGCGGGCAGUGGGCAAUGUGCACAAGGUGUCGCUCUGCCUGUGACCAGGUGUACAAUCAUCGCAAUAAAAAUUUCAAUGAGGCCAUAA